UACGAAGGGGGCUAGCGUUGUUCGGAAUCACUGGGCGUAAAGCGCACGUAGGCGGAUCGAUCAGUCAGGGGUGAAAUCCCAGAGCUCAACUCUGGAACUGCCUUUGAUACUGUCUAUCUGGAGUAUGGAAGAGGUGAGUGGAAUUCCGAGUGUAGAGGUGAAAUUCGUAGAUAUUCGGAGGAACACCAGUGGCGAAGGCGGCUCACUGGUCCAUUACUGACGCUGAGGUGCGAAAGCGUGGGGAGCAAACAGG
rnacentral:rRNA from 1 species